rnacentral:rRNA from 1 species
CACAUGCAAGUCGAGGGGCAGCAUGGUCUUAGCUUGCUAAGGCCGAUGGCGACCGGCGCACGGGUGAGUAACACGUAUCCAACCUGCCGUCUACUCUUGGACAGCCUUCUGAAAGGAAGAUUAAUACAAGAUGGCAUCAUGAGUUCACAUGUUCACAUGAUUAAAGGUAUUCCGGUAGACGAUGGGGAUGCGUUCCAUUAGAUAGUAGGCGGGGUAACGGCCCACCUAGUCUUCGAUGGAUAGGGGUUCUGAGAGGAAGGUCCCCCACAUUGGAACUGAGACGCGGUCCAAACUCCUACGGGAGGCAGCAGUGAGGAAUAUUGGUCAAUGGGCGCAGGCCUGAACCAGCCAAGUAGCGUGAAGGAUGACUGCCCUAUGGGUUGUAAACUUCUUUUAUAAAGGAAUAAAGUCGGGUAUGUAUACCCGUUUGCAUGUACUUUAUGAAUAAGGAUCGGCUAACUCCGUGCCAGCAGCCGCGGUAAUACGGAGGAUCCGAGCGUUAUCCGGAUUUAUUGGGUUUACAGGGAGCGUAGAUGGAUGUUUAAGUCAGUUGUGAAAGUUUGCGGCUCAACCGUAAAAUCGCAGUUGAUACUGGAUAU